CUGAAAUUCACACCCAAUUCCAUCCUAUCUAAAUUGGAGGAAACACAGUCCGUACAAUCCUCAUCAAAGCAAUGCUUGAACAGUCCUACAUUUCUGGCUACACUGAAAAUCUGGUAUAAUUGGGAAUCAACAGGGGAAGAUGACAGAAUGCAGAGAAUCUACAGCACACAUCACAUCAUCAGAUGGAAGCUGGGCAUGCUGGUGGUGCUCCUGAAGAGCCUCUACUCUGAGCAGAAUCUGCACCCAAGGGCUGGAUGUCUAAGCUCAUCACAUAACACCAGCAGCAACUUGUAAUUUAACAUAGUGAGAAGGUUACUAUUCGCCUCAGAAGACAUGCAAAAACUUUUCCUGGUAUCUCAGCUUCUCCAGAGCUCUGAAUAGUAAUUCUGGAUUGAUAAGAGACAUCUUUUCCCACAGAUCUUCAUAAAGGAAAACCUGCCAAAAAUCACCUUUAUGUGCUACAAUCUGCAGACUUAGCUGAAUUUUACUAGAAGCUGAGUAUGCUCAACAAAAGAAAAAAACAAUCAAUGUACUUCAAAAUCAGAAUCUAGGUAAAAUGUGAUGAAAGCAAGAGGCGUCAAGUUGCAAUGGGAGAUUUAAGUUGGAUAUUAAAAAAAUAUUUCUUUCCCUGAAAGUAUUGUCAAGCACUGGAACAGGUGCUCAGGGCGAGGGCUGGAUCACCAUCCCUGGAGGUAUUUAAAAGAUGUGUAGAUAUGUAGGCACUUGGGACAAAAGUGGUGGACCUGGCAGUGCUGUGUUAAUGGAUGAACUCAAUAAUCUUAGGGGACCUUUGUAUCCUAAACAAUUCUAUGAUUCUAUGAGUCCGUGACUUACUCAACAAUAAAACAGAAGUGUAUAAGAAGGUUGGUUUCUUGAAGGUGAUGAACCUGAUAUGUGUUUUUUAAAGGCAAAAUCUUAACUUCAGUGCUAUUAAAUGAGGGCUUUGACUCCUUGUUUUUUUAUUUUCAUUAUUGUUUGGUUGUUUUUUUAACAAUGGAACACUACUGUGAAUUCAGUGCAGUUAAUACUGGAGAUAAAACUGGUUCUGUUUGGAAUUGAUGUUAUCUAAUAUGUUUCCCUGGGACUAAGAAAAGUAUUAAGAAAAAUAAAAAUGACACCAGAGUCUAUUACAACCCAACUGCAAAUGAUUUGUUCAUAGAAUUAUGAAAGAUGAAUCAACCAGUCUAAAAUAAAAACAUUUCAGUUCUUAUCUGUGGACUGAUGCUACCAUUGUGAGUAGCUUCUAGAAGAUUUUUAACUGCAGCACAGCAAUUUUAUGAAGCCAACUGCAGAACAAUUUAUACAUGAUAUAUAGCUCAAUUUUUGCAAAACAUUUGUCAGAUGACAUGUCAAUCACAGCAUGCUAGUCAAUGUUCAGAAGGAGAAAUUCAAUCUUCAUAUCUUAAAAUACCACAAAGAAAGAACAAAGGAAGAUGGAUGGGGGAAAAUAAAAGGAUAGGAAUGAAAUUUUGCAAUGAAUUAUUUUUCUUCGCUUCAUUCUCUGUCUCCUUUGUUUCUUCUUUUUUCAUGUACCUUUCUUUGUCCCUUGAUUUUUCCUUCAUCUUGCUGUUGUAUUUUUUAUUAAUAGCAUACUAUUAUUGUGCCUGAAUCUUUCCAAGUUCUUUCUAGAGGCUGUUUCUCAUAGCAAAUAAAAGAUAAAAGCUAGCUGUGUUGCACAUUUCUCCUCUGAUUUCUUUCAUGUUUGGACUUCCUUUCAAAAAUAUUAAUAAUUAUAAUGCUCUACUACUAUCUCUGUCUUGUCUAUUCUUUGU